CCCUUAGAUGUUCUGGGCCGCACACGCGCUACACUGAAGGAGGCAGCGUGUACUCCUGGAUCGAAAGAUUUGGGUAACCCGCGAAUCUCCUUCGUGCUAGGGAUUGAGGUUUGCAAUUAUCCUUCAUGAACGAGGAAUUCCCAAUAAGUGCAAGUCAUAAGCUUGCGCUGACUACGUCCCUGCCCUUUGUACACACCGCCCGUCGCUACUACCGAUUGAAUGAUUUAGUGAGGACUUCGGACUGGGACCGAUGCGGCUUUCGGGCUGCGUCGGUAUUCUGGAAAGAUGUCCAAACUGUAUCAUUUAGAGGAAGUAAAAGUCGUAACA
rnacentral:rRNA from 1 species